UGAAGCAGUUGACAAGCGUUGCUGUUGGCGCAAAAAACUCUGGAUGAAGCAGUUGGUGGGCGGUGCUACCGCUGGGGCAUGGAGGACUUUGGUGAAGCUCGAAGCCGAGGGCUCUGAGACGUUGUUAUUUCAGAAUGAAGUCCUGAGUCUGAUCCCCAACAUCUAUGAAAAAGACUGGGUGUGGCAGUUUGUGCUGGUUAUCCUGGUCCAGGGGAGAGGGGUCCGUCUGGCUAGCCAGUCUAGCUGAGUUAGUGAUCUCCAGGUGCCAGUGAGAGAGACUGCCACAGAAGUCAAGGUGGGCAAUAACAAGGGAGACAAAGGAUGAAAACAACAGAAGUGAAAUAACUGGAAGAUGACAAGCUCCUGAAGAUGGUUUCUAUGGUGGAAGAAAGUAUGGAUUUAGCAGUAAAAAUUGAGACAAAUCAUGAAGCUUUGCUUUUUCAUCUAACUGAAGCAUCAUCUGCUACAGUCCUCAUAGCUCUGCUCCUUAGCUCUGUGGUACUGCGGAUGGUUGCUGUCUCUGCUGUCUAUGUCUACAGGAAGCUGAAGAUCUGACUAUCACUGUUGCUGUCAGCUGCAAUUGAUCACAGAAGGAAACUUCCUUUUUUGGAAAUGAUGGUAUGCAACAGACAUUCAUAACUACUAAUGAAGAUGCUGUGAAUUUUGUGGCAUAAUGACCGAAUACUAAAUCAGAGGCACACAUCACCCUCUUCAAGGCUCAGGGAAUAUUGCGGAAGAGGGGACGGGAAGACUGUAAGAGCCAGAGGAAUGGGUAAAAUAUUGUAUACCAAUUGUUUGAUUUUUGUUUUUCCCAGAAUUUAAAUGUUCCCUCUAGGAGGGAGGUGGGAGGCUCACUAAACUCAAGAAAUAAACAACUCACAAAUCUGAGGAAGUUUCUGAGUCCAAAAAAGAUUCACAAGACCCUUCCCCAGGGUUAUGGAUAUAAGAAACAAUUGCUGGGUAGAGAUUCUCCUACAUGUGGAGCUGUUUGCAAGCCCUGUAGAGAGCUUCAGAUUUGUGGCUCUUGUGAAUUAUCACCUAUAAAGCAUGGACAUUUCAGUGUUGUAGAUGCUUAUGAGUCACUCAUGCUCUUGCAAGUAGCCCCAUUUUCUUGUAAAUAAAUCUAAUAAACA